UGUCGGACAGCAAAAAUUUUGAUAAAGCGACUAACACGAACUUCGCCACAGCCAUGACUAAGGCUUUGAAGUCGCUCAACGAGGAUUAUCGGCGAAGAAAAGCUAAGCGCGCUCGCACGGGUGAUUUAGAAGUCAACAACAUCCAGCAGCCACAAAAUAAGAAGGCAAAAGUCGUCCCAAAUGAUCAAAUAUUUUUGAUCAUCUUCUUGACUCCGAUGUAGAUGAGGAAAACGAGCAACCCACAGAUCUAGUCGAAGAUGAAACUGUAGAACCAUCAGAUAUUGAGGAUCAUGAAGAACCUACAGUGGCAGAUGAUAUGGUGGAAGAAUCUGGAGAACCAUUUGAUGGUGAGGAAUAAGGAGAAGCUACGCUUGGAGUCCAAGAACAAUUGGAAAACGACCCUAAUGCGUACAAUGUAACAUAUUUACGAGUUGUGGCCGCAUCGGAUUUGCAGUCUGCAAUCUAUGCUAACGAGGAAGCUAAUGAUUAUUAUGAUGGGGCAAAUGAACAGGCAAAUAAAGAAAAUCUGUUUGAGGACAGCGACACUAUCGUCCUCGAGGGACUCACAAUGGACGAGUUAGAGGAUACGCAGCUCAUAUAUCAAGGAUAUGAAGAAAAUAGAGGAGUAUAUGGCAUCGAAGAAAAUUCAUACGUAAGCUAGGAAUCAUUCAGCAGUCUUCAUUCUGGUGUACAUAUACAUAUUUGAUCUCAUACGUGGUGCUAAGUCACUUAUUUAUUUAUUAUUAUAGUUGCUUUGUAAAGCUUUUCGUUUAUUAUUUAAAUAAAUGCAUUUUUUAAAUGUAA